AUGAGUUGCUGGGAUUAUAGAUGUGCACCAUCACACCAGCUGAUUUUUGUAUUUUUUUAAGAGAUGGGAUCUCACUAUGUUGCCCAGGCUGGUCUUGAACUCCUGGGCUCAAGUGACCCUUCUUCCUCAGUCUCCCAAAGUGAUAGGAUUGUAGUCAUGAGCCACUAUGCCUGGCCAUUAUCCUACCUCCUUCUGACUCCUUCAUAUAUUGUAUUUUCUCAUUCUCCUUUUCCAGCCACUUCAUGGCAGUCUCCAUAGUUUAGCUUAGGUAUACUUUUGUCUUUCCACAGUCUGAGCGAUUAUCCCCUAAACUCCAAUGAUUCCAACAGCUUGUUUCUCUAGGCUCCAACUUCUGUUAAGCAACCUUCAUCCCAUCAUUCCACCUCAGACCUCCAUCCUCCUCUGUAAUCCUCAUUUCAGGGAAUAGCCAUGCCGCCCACCAGCCCUGCGAGUUGACUCUGACGUCCUCCCACUUUGGAACUUCCUUGUUUCUGGCUCCUAGUUGUUUCCUCUGCCCCAUGUUAGACCCUCCUCAGUCCUCGCCUGGGCCAUUUACCUUAGUGUCCCCCAGGGUCUUCUGUGUCCAGGCUCCCAUCCUGUAGUCCCACCCCUGAUACCUGCCCAGUCCCUCAGAAGUGCUCACUUUUCCUCAUACUUCCUCCCCCAGGGCUGUGGUCCACACCUGCACUGUCCAAUACAGUAGCCACUAGCCAGUAUUUAAAUCAAUUACAAUUAAAUAAAAUGUAAACUUCAGUUCCUCAGUCAUACUGGCCAAUUGCCAAGUGUCAACAGCCCCUGGGGGCUUCUGGCUGCCAAAUUAGACAGCACAGAUCACAGAAGCAUUUCCACCAUUGCAGAAAAUCAUACUGGCUAAUGCUGGUCCACAUUGUCCUUUCCUCUUGAGCAUCUUUCUUUCCCUCUCCUUCUCUCCGAAUCCUCUCUCUUUCCCAAAGAGUCACAAAGACACAUCCUUACAUCCCAAACCUCAUCUUCAGCAGCACGGAACUUGGCACUUCUCUGAGGGUACACUGGAACAUAGAACUCUUUUGGUUGCAGUAGAUGGGAACCCAACUCAAACUAACGUAAGCACAAAAGAAAAUGUGUUAGCUCUUGUACCGGAGAGACACAGCUCAGGCUUUAGCACAGCCAGGUUCAGUCGCUCAUGUACUAUUGGACCUCACCCAUCCCUCCUCCACUGCCCUCUGUGGCCAGCUUCAUCCUCUGCCCUGCAGACCGUCCCCUCCCCAUGACCAGAGAACACGGCCAGGAGCAGGCUCUGCUUACAACAUCUUUACUGGGCAUGAUCCCAAAGGAAGAGAGACCUUUGUUUUUGGAGUUCAUAUAUCAUGUCUAUGGGAUUUGGGUCUGUUUGGGUCAGGAACCGUGAAUCAAUCCUUAUGGCCAGGGGGAUAGAACACCCUGAUUUGCCUGGCCUGGUCACAUGCUUACCCCAGGGGUGCGGCACAACACCCAACCGUAGCUAAUGGGCUCCCUGUGGGAGAGAAAGAUCACAGGAUCUUGCUCAUAUCAGAUGAAGGAGGGAAUGGGUCGGACAAAACGCAGAUUUCACAACUGAAUUCUGUUUGGAACCUUUCUCACUUUCUUCAUUUGACAGGAAUC
ensembl:lncRNA